rnacentral:rRNA from 1 species
GAGCGAUGAAGCGGUGCUUGCACCGUGGAUUAGCGGCGAAAGGGAGAGUAACGCGUAGGUAUGUACCCCCUGGUCUGGGAUAGCGGCGGGAAACUGCCGGUAAUACCGGAUAAUGUCCCCGGACCAAAGGUGUGAUUCCGCCAGGGGAGCGGCCUGCGUCCUAUUAGGUUGUUGGUGGGGUAACGGCCUACCAAGCCAAAGAUGGGUACCGGGUGUGAGAGCAUGGCCCGGCUCACUGGGACUGAGACACUGCCCAGACACCUACGGGUGGCUGCAGUCGAGAAUCUUCCGCAAUGGGCGCAAGCCUGACGGAGCGACGCCGCGUGCGGGAUUAAGGCCUUCGGGUUGUAAACCGCUGUCAGAGAGGCGGAAAUGCGUAGGGGCUAUCCCCUAUGUUUGACCUAAUCUCAGAGGAAGUGCAGGCUAAGUUCGUGCCAGCAGCCGCGGUAAUACGAACUGCACAAACGUUAUUCGGAAUCACUGGGCUUAAAGAGUCCGUAGGCGGCUUGGAAGGUGAGGUGUGAAAUCCCACGGCUCAACCGUGGAACUGCGCUUCAAACCAUCAGGCUAGAGGGAGACAGGGGUGAGCGGAACAGAUGGUGGAGCGGUGAAAUGCGUUGAUAUCAUCUGGAACACCGGUGGCGAAGGCGGCUCACUGGGUCUCUUCUGACGCUGAGGGACGAAAGCUAGGGGAGCGAACGGGAUUAGAUACCCCGGUAGUCCUAGCUGUAAACGAUGAGCACUAGAUCGAAGGGACUUCCACAUCUUUUCGGUCGUAGCGAAAGCGUUAAGUGCUCCGCC